GACGAACGCUGGCGGCGUGCUUAACACAUGCAAGUCGAACGGAAAGGCCCUGCUUUUGUGGGGUGCUCGAGUGGCGAACGGGUGAGUAACACGUGAGUAACCUGCCCUUGACUUUGGGAUAACUUCAGGAAACUGGGGCUAAUACCGGAUAGGAGCUCCUGCUGCAUGGUGGGGGUUGGAAAGUUUCGGCGGUUGGGUAUGGACUCGCGGCUUAUCAGCUUGUUGGUGGGGUAGUGGCUUACCAAGGCUUUGACGGGUAGCCGGCCUGAGAGGGUGACCGGCCCCAAUGGGACUGAGAUACGGCCCAGUCUCCUACGGGAGGCAGUAGUGGGGAAUAUUGCACAAUGGGGCGAAGCCUGAUGCAGCAACCCCGCGUGCGGGAUGACGGCCUUCGGGUUGUAAACCGCUUUCGCCUGUGACGAAGCGUGAGUGACGGUACUGAGUAAAGAAGCACCGGCUAACUACGUG
rnacentral:rRNA from 1 species